AUCGAGAAACGAAGAAAGAAAAAGCACAAUAUUUACUUCAGUCACCAACGAUGCUUGACUCACUCGGUUUUGUCGCUGUUUCACUGUAUCUCCGCGCGGAUGUCUCUCGAAUGUCACGGUCAAUGUCUUGCGGCGGCGUGACACCUGCAAUGGAAGCCCUCGCGGCGAUACUCCGAACUAAUCACUCACUUUACGCGCGCCACGAGUUCGAUUUCGACGUUAACGACAUGUAAUCGCGUCCCAUCGAGAAAUUGCAAUCACCGACGAGUAAAUAUUCGAUCGAGGAAAAACGCGAACUGUCUCGAUGUCACGAAAAAAUUCGAAUCACUGUCCACUUUCAAAUAUUAGACGGAAUAUUUCUCGUCCAUGAAUCCACACACGUGUCGAUCCUUCGAGCGAUCGUCUGUUAGAAAUAUCGAUACAUAGUCCGUAUCGAUUCCAGUUCGUUAGAGAA